GCAUUGGUGGUUCAGUGGUAGAACUGUUGCUUCCCAUGCAGGAGACCCUGGUUCGAUUCCCGGGGCAAUGCA